AUUGAACGCUGGCGGCAUGCCUUACACAUGCAAGUCGAACGGCAGCAUGGAAGAGCUUGCUCUUCUGAUGGCGAGUGGCGAACGGGUGAGUAAAGCAUCGGAACGUACCGUGUAGUGGGGGAUAACGUAGCGAAAGUUACGCUAAUACCGCAUACGCACUGAGGUGGAAAGCAGGGGAUCGCAAGACCUUGCGCUAUACGAGCGGCCGAUGUCAGAUUAGCUAGUUGGUAGGGUAAAGGCCUACCAAGGCGACGAUCUGUAGCGGGUCUGAGAGGAUGAUCCGCCACACUGGGACUGAGACACGGCCCAGACUCCUACGGGAGGCAGCAGUGGGGAAUUUUGGACAAUGGGCGAAAGCCUGAUCCAGCCAUGCCGCGUGAGUGAAGAAGGCCUCGGUGUAAGACUCUUCGUCUGGUAGAAGUACGCACAGGCGUAAUACUCUGUGUGGAGUGACGGUACCGAGCACAACGAAGACG
rnacentral:rRNA from 1 species